AUCCAUCUGAGAAGUCCCAAAUAGGAUGGAACGCGCUUCUUGUAU
rnacentral:hammerhead_ribozyme from 1 species